AUUUAUCUGCAGGAUGUCUCUGA
rnacentral:siRNA from 1 species